rnacentral:lncRNA from 1 species
ACAGUAUAAAAUGAAGGCUUCAAUCCCUUAUUCUUUGACGUUUGGGAACCCUAUCAGAGCAAUCAGAGAAAAAAAUUGAGAAAUCUCAGGAACUUGUUAGAGAUGCCGCUAUCGCUGUCAGAAGACACGUGAACCUGCUUAGAAAUGAGAUGAGUUUAUCGCAAUUGGGAUUAGAAUGAACAUGUGUAGGGAUCCUUAGAAAAUUAAAUUGAGUUUAUUUUAGAAUGUUUAUUAAAUUAUAAUUUUUCCUUUAUCAUUAUAAAUACAAUAUUGAUGUCCUGAUGCAAAUUGGUUGAUAAAAUAGAGUGAUCUUGGUAUUUUUAUUUUUUUUAUCUAUGAUUUUGAUUAAUUGAUUUCGGUAUAAUUGUGUGAAAUUAUUUGAGGGGUUUUACUCCCCAUGUUGUGAUAAAUUUUUUGUAUAAAUUUUUAUAUUGAGAUUAAGGGGUUUUGAGGGCGAGCCCUGGUGCAGCGGUAAAGUUGUGCCUUGGUGACUUGUUGGUCAUGGGUUCGAAUCCGGAAACAGCCAGGGUAAGGCUGCGUACAAUAUCCCUCCCCCAUACCUUCGCAUAGCGAAGAGCCUCUGGGCAAUGGGGUACGAAGUUUUUUUUUAUAUUGAGAUUAUGAAAUGGUGAUUCAAAUUUUGAGUAUGUGAUAAUUUAAACUUGUGAUUAAUGGUGAAAUAGAUGUGUAUUGAGAUGUGUGUAUGGAGUUGUGAACUAUGAACUGUACAAUCACAUAAUUGUAAGACCCUUUAAGGGCGAUGAGUAUUGUGAUGAGAUCCACUGUGGGAACCCGACGAGUUAAAAUGAUUUUGAAAACAAUUGAGUAGUUGUGUGUAUUGCAUAGUUCAUAGGUAAAGUGUAUAUGAUUCAUGAGGUGUGAUAACGUGUUAAUUGAGAUUAUACCAUUAUGAUUGAAAUCGAGUGUAUGUGAUAAAUUGUGUAUGUAUGUGAUUGAGAUGUUGUGUGCAUUGAGUUGUGAACUAUGAAUUGUACAAUCACACAACUAUAAGACCCUUUAAGGACGACGAGUUAAUGCUAAGUCCCUUUAAGGGCGACAAGUUAAUGCUAAGUCUCUUUAAGGACAACGAGUUAAUGCUAAUUCCCUUUAAGAUAAGGAACCUGUGAGGCUAUUUCCUGACAUAUCAAGAUAAGUAAGGUUGGUUGGGAUGCUGGAAUUUAGUCCUGACUUGUGAAGAUCCAAUCUCCGAAGCCUAUGGAGAUUUCCAAUUGAUGAUGGUAUUGGUCCUUGGAAGACAUUUUGAUUCAAUUCAAGCACCUCAAGGUUUGACAAGAGACCAAUCUCCUUUGGUAUAGUACCGUUAAGCUUGUUUUUUCCAAGCUUCAUGUGUUUGAGGUUUGUAAGGUUCUUAAUUUCUGCUAGAAUUAGCCCUUCAAAGUAGUUAUUUGUCAUGUCUAGGAUUGUCAAAUUCCUAAGACUGGUCAGUAAGUGUAUUGGAAUCUGUCCAGUGAUUGUGUUGAGUGAUAGAUCAAGAGACACAAGCUUUGGACAUUUAGACACAAAUGGGGGAACUUCUGUGAGAUAGUUAUAGGUGAGAUUGAGUUCAGUUAUGGAUGCCAUGCCCUUAAACUGAACCGGGUCAGGAUUCUCCAAAUAAUUUGCCCCUAGAUCAAGAAACCAUAAAUUCUGCAAAUUGCUAAGUUGAACUGGUAUUUGAUUUAGGAGUGAAUUAUUAUUGAGAGAAAGAACUUGAAGUUGUAGGAUGUUUCCCAUUUCUGGGGGGAUUGGAAAGGUGAAAUUGUUGCUACUUAAAUAAAGUAUUUUCAGCUUUGUUGCAUUUCCAAUUCCAGCUGGUAUCUCUCCAACAAGGUUAUUCAUACUGACAUUGAAGUUACUGAGAUUAGAGCAGGCUGAGAAGUCAAACCUGUUAAGGGUUCCAUCUAGGCCUGAAUUGUGAAGCUUUAUCUCAACAACAGUGCCUGCUUUGUUGCAAGUAAUACCGGUCCAGUUGCAUGGAUUGUUGCUGUUGUUUCAUGAAGGCAGCAAGGGAGAGUUCAAACUGUUCAUCCAGGUUCUAAGAGACUCUUCUUCUUUCUGUGCUGAAAUCUCUCCAAGUAUACAAGACAAAACCAGAGAGAAAAUUGUCAGCUGAAAAGUUUUCUUCAUGCUGGCAAAUUUGGUGUAGUAGUUCAACGAAGAGAAAAUUUGUUCAUGUAAGAAUUUGGAGAAAGUGCUGACAAUACAUUAUUUAUAUGGAAGUUUGUACUUGUUAAGUUGUUAGUAUUUAAUGUUUCUUUUCUUAAUAUGGGAUAUAAUUUCUGAGUUAAGUAUCAUAGAAGAUAUAUUUGUUUUAGAGAGCUAUAUAAUCCCAGCAUUAUCUCCAAA